GACGAACGCUGGCGGCGUGCCUAAUACAUGCAAGUCGAGCGCUGAGGCUUGGUACUUGUGCCAAUUGGGUGAGCGGCGGACGGGUGAGUAACGCGUGGAGAAUCUGCCUUUGAGAGGGGGACAACAUUGGGAAACGAGUGCUAAUACCGCAUAAUAUCUUUAACCACAAGUUUUAAUUGUGAAAGAUGCAAUUGCAUCACUCAAUGAUGAUCCCCCGGUGUAUUAGCUAGGUGGUGAGGUAAAGGCCCAACCAAGGGGUGAUACAUAGACGGCCUGAGAGGGGGGUCGGCCAACAUGGGACUGGGACACGGCCCAAACUCCCUCAGGAGGCAGCAAUAGGGAAUCUUUGGGCAUGGGCGGAAGUCUUACCGAACAACGCCGCGCGAGGGAAGAAGGGUCUCGGGUCGGAAAACUCGGUUUGUAGGGAAGAACGAGGUUUAGAGUGGAAAGCUCAUCAAGUGACGGUAACUACUCAGAAAGAGACGGCUAACUACGUG
rnacentral:rRNA from 1 species